CGCAAGCCUGAUGGAGCAACACCGCGUGAGUGAAGAAGGGUUUCGGCUCGUAAAGCUCUGUUGUUGGAGAAGAACGUGCGUGAGAGUAACUGUUCACGCAGUGACGGUAUCCAACCAGAAAGUCACCGGCUAACUACGUGCC
rnacentral:rRNA from 1 species